AACAAUGCAUCUUAUUAAAAGCGCUAUAUUAAUGUUUUUGAUUUGUGUGUUGGUGUGUGUCUCAGGGUGUGGGAUAGCCGUACCUGGCAGGUCACUAACACAUUUCCGGCAAAGCAGUAUAUCCAGACACACUGUGACAUCAGCUCCAACUGUUACCACCUGCUGUCGUCCAGCAAUGGCUUUGGUGGUCAGGGUUGUGAAGCCACGCUGUGGGACCUCAGGCAGCCCGGCUGUAAGGUGGCUGAAUACAGAGGACACCUGCAGACCACGGCAUGCUGCGUGUUUGUGCCUCCCCGUCCCGGAUGUCCUGCCCUCGUGGCGUCAUCGUCGUAUGACAGCUCAGUAAAAAUAUGGGAUCAGAACACUGCAGCAUGUUUGUACACGUUAACGCUGGACGGUUCAGGGCCUUUGGUGUCUCUGGCUCCGUGUGACUCCAGCAGUCUCCUGUGUGCCAGUUUUAACACAGGACUGCAUCAGCUGCAUCUAGAUCAGGGAGCAGUGCCCAGCCUCACUGAAGUGGCUCGCUUCUGACGUCCAUCUGGACUGCCUGGAAAAUCAAACUGAUGAGUUCAAAUGAACAAAUUUAAUAACUGGAACUCCUGGAAAUGAGAAUGCACACUGCAUUUCCAAAGUACUGUAUGUGGACACCUUAUAUACUUAUUAAAGAGAUAGGUCAUCCAAAAAUGACAAUUUGCUGAAAAUGUACUCACCUAAAGCCAUCCAAGAUGUAAAUGAGUUUGUUUCUUCAUGGGAACACUCCGCAAUGGAUCCUCUGCAGUGAAUGGGUGCCGUCAAAAUGAGAGCUCAUAAAAACCACUCCAGACCUUCAGUUAAUGUCUUGGGAAGUAAAAAGCUGCGUGUUUGUUUUUAUCAGAUGUUUGGACGGCACCCAUUCACUGCAGAGGAUCCAUUGCUGAGCAAGUGAUGUAAUUCUGAAUUUCUCUAAAUCUGUUAUGAUGAAGAAACAAACUCAUCUACAUCUUGGAUGGCCUGAGGGGAAGUAAAGUUUCAGCAGAUUUUCAUUUUUGGGUGAACUAUUUCUUUAACAGGUUGGCCUAUUGCUAAUAGGAGCAUAAGUUGUCUAAAUGUGUCUAAAUGUUCCAACAUUGUCCACAUAUUUUUGACCAUGUAGUGUAUGAUCGUCUGAAUACACAAACCAUUAAAGGGUGUAAAAACAUAAAUAACUUACCUAAAGAUGAGACUGAGUGGCUAUGAAACUCCCUGCCUGCAGAAAUUAUUUACAAUAUGGCAUUUUCCAAAUAUGGCUUAAUUCAGGGUUAAAAAUAAUCGGAGAUAUGAUGGGUGCUGUUUUUCUCUCUCUCUCUCUCUCUCUCUCUCUCUCUCUCUGUCUGUGUGUCUCUGUGUCUGUGUCUGUGUCUGUGUCUGUGUCUGUGUGUGUGUGUGUGUUACUGUGUAAACUGAUAUAGGCAAUAAAAUGCCGCUCAACUUCUGCUUGGUUGCUGAAUAUGCUUGAAUAAGUUUUUGGAAGCCAGGAGUGUUAAGUACUGGAGUAAUUGUACUUAAAUAUACUGUAUGUUAAUGUAUUAUUUUACAACGUUUAUGCUUCAUUAUACUACUAUUAGUCCCUACAAUUUCAAAAUAUAUAUAUAUAAAAAGGCAUCAUGGUUUAAAACAGUUAAAAAAUUAUCUUAAUAUAGUGUGUGUGUGUGUGUGUGUGUGUGUAUUUUAUAUAU
ensembl:lncRNA